UACGGGGGGUGCGAGCGUUGUCCGGAAUCACUGGGCGUAAAGGGCGCGUAGGUGGCUUGGUAAGCGUGUGGUGAAAGCCCGGGGCUCAACCCCGGGUCUGCCAUGCGAACUGCUAUGGCUUGAGCACUGUAGAGGCAGGUAGAAUUCCGGGUGUAGCGGUGGAAUGCGUAGAGAUCCGGAAGAAUACCGGUGGUGAAGGCGGCCUGCUGGGCAGUGGCUGACACUGAGGCGCGACAGCGUGGGGAGCAAACAGG
rnacentral:rRNA from 1 species